ACGAACGCUGGCGGCGUGCCUAACACAUGCAAGUCGAGCGAGAAAGUCUCCUUCGGGAGAUGAGUAAAGCGGCGAACGGGUGAGUAACACGUGAGCGAUCUACCCGGCGGCGGGGGAUAACUCAGGGAAACCUGAGCUAAUACCGCAUACUGCACCGGCUUGGAAGCCGGAUGUGAAAGCUGGCCUCUCGAAGAAGCUAGCACCGCCGGAUGAGCUCGCGGCCUAUCAGCUUGUUGGUGGGGUAACGGCCUACCAAGGCGAUGACGGGUAGCUGGCGUGAGAGCGUGGCCAGCCACACUGGGACUGAGACACGGCCCAGACUCCUACGGGAGGCAGCAGUGGGGAAUAUUGCGCAAUGGACGAAAGUCUGACGCAGCGAUGCCGCGUGGGGGAGGAAGGCCCCAGGGUUGUAAACCCCUGUCAGGUGGGACGAACCACGGAUCGGCCAAUACCCGGUCCGCCUGACGGUACCACCAGAGGAAGCUCCGGCUAACUCCGUG
rnacentral:rRNA from 1 species